AUUGAACGCUGGCGGCAAGCCUAACACAUGCAAGUCGAACGAGUGGCGGACGGGUGAGUAAUGUCUGGGAAACUGCCUGAUGGAGGGGGAUAACUACUGGAAACGGUAGCUAAUACCGCAUACCAUCGGAUGUGCCCAGAUAGGAUUAGCUAGCAGGUGGGGUAAAGGCUCACCUGGGCGACGAUCCCUAGCGGGUCUGAGAGGAUAACCAGCCACACUGGAACGGGGACAAGGACCAGAAUCCUACGUGAGGCAGCAGUGGGGAAUUGUGCACAAUGGGCGCAAGGCUGAAGCAGCCAUGACGCGUGGAUGAAGAAGGCCUUCGGGUUGUAAAGUACUUUCAGCGGGGAGACGUUACCCACAGAAGAAGCACCGGCUAACUACGUGCCAGCCGCCGCGGUAAUUC
rnacentral:rRNA from 1 species